UGCAUCAGCCGGUUAUCUAACCGGGCCGCCCCCGUGGCAGGCGAGCAUUCUACCACUGAACCACCGAUGG